AAUUGACUCUCAGUUCCUCAGGCUGUACAGGAAACAUGGCUUGGGAGGCCUCAGGAAACUUACAAUCAUGGUGGAAGGCAAAAGGGAAGCCGGCAUGUCUUACAUGGCAGGAGCGGGAGGAAGAGAUAGUGAAGGGGGAAGUGCUACACCCUUUUAAACAACCAGAUCUCGUGAGAACUGACUCACUAUCGCAAGAACAGCAACGGGAAUGUCUGCCCCCAUGAUCCAAUCACCUCCCACCCGAUCCCUCCCCCAACGUUGGGUCUUACAAUUUAACAUGAGAUUUGGGUGGAGAAACAGAGCCAAACCACAUGAAGAGCAGACCUACAUUUAAGGAGUGGGGUGAGUGGAAGGAGAGACCUCAUAAAAUCAACUGCCAAGUAAGGGGUUCUUUUUUGUACCUAAACUCUGGAUAAAUAUUUACUUAGAAUUAAAGACUGAGACAGCCAUGUGCAAAGAUCAUUUUGCCCUUUGAAAAGGCAUGCAGGAGAGAAAUUGCCUUUUGUGAUCAUUUCCGUACAAGUUCCGCAUGGUUCAGGAAACUUACAAUCAUGGCAAAGGCACCUCUUUACAGGGCGGCAGGAGAGCGAUGUGCUGAGCAAAGGGAGAAAAGCCUCUUACAAAACCAUCCACUGUCACAAGAACAGCAUGGGGGUAACCGCCCUCAUGAUUCAAUUACCUCCCACCGGGUCCUCUCACAAGAGAGCCACUUCCAAGCCAGGACCUGAGUGCCCUGUGUACUUCUGCUCUCCAGCUCUCAGAACUCCAUCUACCUGCUGCAUGACCAAGUAUAAGCUAAUAUGCUGGAUAAUGGGAGACUACAUGGAACAGAGGGAAUGAACUCCUUCUACAGCCAUCCUUGAUCAGCCAGUGCUCAACCAACCUGGCACCUGCCUGCAGAAGCAUCAUGAGCUUAGCCAAGAUGAGAAAAACUGCCCUGCCUGAGCCCAGCCCCAAGUGUCUGCGUGUUCUUCUGUUUUUAGCCACUAUAUUUUUUGGUGGUUUGUGGCAUAAAAAAAUGCAAACUGAUUGUUAUAGUUAACUGUAUGUGUCAACUUGGUUAUGUUACGGUACUUAAAUAUUUAGUCAAACAUUAUUCUAGAUGUUUCUGUGAAGAUUUUUUAAGGUGAGAUUAACAUUUAAACCAGUAGACUUUAAGUAAAGCAUAUGACCCUCCAUAAUGUGGGUGAGCCUCAUCCAAUCAGUUGAAGGCCUUUGUAGAGAAACACUGAACUCUUUGAGCAAGAAAAAAAUUCUACCAGUGAACAGCCUUUGGACUUGAACUGCAAGGCUUCUUUAGGUCUCCAGCCCACCAGCCUGCCCUGCAGAUUGUGUACCUGCCAGCCCCCACAAUUGUUAGCCAGUUCUUUAAAAUAUAUGCCCCCACCACACACUUAUCUAUCUACCUACCUACCUGUCUACCCUGUUGGUUGUGUUUCUCUGGAGUCCUCUGACUAAUAUACUAAUUUACUUACUAAUUCUUACUUUUGUUAUUUUCUUUAAUAGAAAAGAUAGGCAAAACAGUUAAUUUAUUUCAUUACAAUUAGGCAAGGCUCCUUUUUAUGCCCAAUUUCUUUCAUUUUCCAACUGCCUCCCACCCCUUAGUGACCUGAACCAUGACUAACUUUUUGUAUCACAGGGAUCAGGAAAAUGGUGUUGCCCUUGGUAAAUAUUGAUCACCUUCUCCCUCUUUCCGAAGCCCAAAAUGGCAAGAGAGUGAUGGGCCACAUCAGCUUGCAUGUAUGUUUGUUUCCCGUGCCCCUCAUCAAGAAUAUUGCCUGCAAAAGAAAUGCUCAUUACCCUCAGAGGGGUUGUAGUCUAUAACGGAAUGAUUAUCGUUGGUAUGGAUAUUUAAUUGGCAAUUAUUAUGGCCAAAAUCUUUCUUUCUUCCUUUUCUUUUUUCAGAAGUAGGUUCUUGCUAUGUUGACCAGGCUGGUGUGCAGUGGUGCAAUCAUAGCUUAUUGCAUCCUUAAACUCCUGGGCUCAAGCAAUUCUCUUGGCUCAGCCUCCCAAGUAGUUGGGACCACAAGUGCAUGCCACCACACCCAGCUAAUUUUAACCUUUUUUUUUUUUUUUUUUUUUUUUGCAUAGACAGGGUCUCACUAUGUUGACCAGGCAGGUCUGGAAUUCCUGGCCUCAAGAAAUCCUUCUGCUUCAGCCUCCCAAAGUGCUGAAAUUACAGGUGUGAGCUACUACCCCCAGCCCAGGACCAAAAUAUUUCUAAUGCAUCAGUUUGUUUCUCUAUUUAAAAGGGAAAUAAUUAUUUAUAAUAAUUAUCCGAUCAUUGCAUAUAUUUAUUUUAAACCAUCCAGUGACUUUGCAUAAUGGACAAUAAAAAAUCUGCAGUCUAUAGCAUCUUAUAUUGAAACACUUUGAACAGUCAACUAUGAAACAGGAAUAAUUGCACACAUAUGUGCUUUCUCUUACUCUUUGUAUUUACUUAUGCACACACCUAUUGGCAAAAGGUUUAUUCUAAGCAGAAAUCUGG
rnacentral:lncRNA from 10 species